CAAUUUCAACUAAAGGUACUCUCCGAUAAAAAUUUCAGAUAAUUGUGUCGUCGGUGCUUCUGCUAUCGAAAUCGAAAAGGAUAUUUGAAGAAUUCAACUAUUUUUUAAUAUGCAGAACUGAAUUUUUAGAACCUGUUUCUUCUUCGAAAUAAUCAAAAAAUUUCGGCAUUUUUUAAAAAGUGAGACGUGAAAUCUUCAAUUUUUUUUUUCGAAAUCGAUAUUUUGGGACGCGGACUUGGACGAUGUUGAGCGGUUAGUUGGACAAUAACUAAAGAUACUCUCCGCCGAUAUUUUCACGUGGACGGUCGAGAAAUGAGGCGGACCUAAGGAUCGAUUAGCGAUUUUGAGGUGGACUGGUCUUAACGAUUCGACAAGGAAUUCAAUGUGUUUUUUAACCGAAAAAUCCUUUUUUUUUUAAAUAUUUAUAGAUUUUUACUGAAAAUGUUCUUUUUUCCAGAAAAUAUAUUGAUUUU
ensembl:ncRNA JC8.17 ncRNA